rnacentral:rRNA from 1 species
GAUGAACGCUAGCGGCAGGCUUAAUACAUGCAAGUCGAGGGGCAGCAGGUCCCGCAGUAAUGCGGGAUGCUGGCGACCGGCAAACGGGUGCGGAACACGUACAGAACCUUCCUUCGAGCGGGGAAUAGCCCAGAGAAAUUUGGAUUAAUACCCCAUAGUAUAUUGAUAAGGCAUCUUAUUAAUAUUAAAGAUUAUCACUUGAAGAUGGCUGUGCGGCUG